rnacentral:lncRNA from 1 species
AGGGCUUCAACACAUGGAUUUGAGGGGGACAGAGUUCAGUCCAUAACAGGCUGGAAAUGCAAUCACAGGUAUCCUUAUAGGGUAGACACACAGAAGCAGAGACAGGGAGAAGAGGAGGAAAUAACGAGACCACAAAAGCAGAGAUAGAAGUGAUGCAGCCACAAACCAAGGAAUGCCUGGAGCCACCAGACAGGGAAAGACAAGGAGUGGACUCUCCCCUGGAGCUGUGGGAAGGAGGGAGGCCCUGCAGAUACCUUGUUUUGACUUCUGGCUUCCAGAACUGUGAGAGAAUAACUUUUUGUUGUUUUCAGCCCCCCAGUUUGUGCUAACUUGUUACAAAAGCCACAGGAAACUGAUAUGCUUCCAUAACCUCACAGAUAAGUCACUUUUCUAGACUGCAAGUUCAAGAGGGCAGAGACUUGGCCCGUGUUGUCCACCACCGCUUCCCCGGGGCCUGGUCUGGAGCAGGUACUCAAUAAAUAUAUCUGAGAUGGAUGAACACAGUCAGAACUAAACCUUAUGAUGCAACUGCUUUCUGGAAGAUGCAACUGUUUGCAAGAUGAUUCUGCAGUUGACACAGCACCAAAGAAUAUUGUUGACAUGAACAAGCAGGUAAAGUGUUCUGACGACAACCUGGGAAAAAGCACCUUGGGCUAAGAUCAGCGCAGAUGAAGUUCCCUUCCUAGUGGCCCUGCUCCCAACAGUCUAUCUGUGCCUCCACCGUGGCACCUACGACUUUGAACACCGUUCUGCAGCUAUGGACAUACAAGGUAACCUCCCCUACCAGAGCAACCCUCCUUGAGGUCCACCAUGUUCAGUCUCACCACCUGCUGCCCCCCAACACACACACACACACAACUCCUAGGCCAAAACCUUAAACACAGCAAUCAUUCGGCAAAUCUACGAGGAGGGAUAAUUUAUGAACAUUUUCCACUGAGCUUGGUUCAGUGUGAUCACAAAGAUCGGCCAGUCCAUGCUUGUUGACUGGCUCAUUGCCACAUGUCUACAUGCCAGAUAGCACCCUGAAUUGCACCCAGGAGAAUGCUACAGAUGUGUGCUCCACCUGAGUGCAUGGGCAUGUGCCGCACAAGCACCUCUCCAGGGAGUCAUGGUAGAAGGUCCUCACGGUCCACAGUUGCGCCUUUGAGGAAGAGGAGGUGGAGUGAGGCGGUACCCCUUUGGCUUGUGGAAGGCUGUGUACCUGAUGGUAAAGCACUGGCUUUAGAGUCAGAUGGUACUUCUCUGAUCACCCACCAUUUCUUUUCCUUUUUUAAACCGUGAUAAAAUAGACAUAACAUAAAAUUUACCGUCUUAACCAUUUUUAGGUGUACAGUUCAG